CUGGUAUCCUUGGUGAGGAUCUGUGCAAAGGAGAUUGUUCUGGUCAGUGGCCACCAGCAGGGGUGGAACACACAAAAGGACAUUUGUCAUUUCUGACCGUUGGCAACGGGGUCUUUUCCUCUCACUGAGGUGACGCCUGGUCUCUUGCCGCAGAGCAAUCAGAAAGAAGUCAGACUGGCCGUGUUUAUUCCGUGUUCCAAGAACCAGGAGCUGAAUCCAACACGUUGACCUGAAGGCUGUCCACAGACAAGGCAGACCACGUAGGUGCUCACGUGAUUUGGCGACGCCUGACAUGUCCUCGCUGCCUUCACGCUCUGUCUUUGUGGAUCUUGCGUGGUGCCGGUUAUGCAUCUGAUGAGGGAGCAGAAGAGAGGAACGCAGAGGCUCCAAGCGCAAGCUUGAGAGAUUUAUACUUAUCAGCCACCCCGACUGGAGCAGCUCAAUGCCAAGAGCGAGUGUUAUGUUAUCACAUGGUGCCACAUACAUUUUUAUAAUCAAAAUCAUAUUAAAAAUUGAGUAAAACUCA